AACUGUACCACCCUGAACCAUUCCAGACUUACCAGAUUUUAGAAGCUAAGGAGGUCUGGGCCUGAUUAGCACUUGGAUGGGAGACCAUCAAAGGAAUACCAAGGAUCUCCAGAUA
rnacentral:rRNA from 1 species